rnacentral:lncRNA from 1 species
UGCAAGCAUCUUUCAUUCUCAUCAUGCAUUAGUUUGUGUCAAAGCCAGGUUCACAUCAAGCUGGCAUGUGAGGCAGAAAAUGUUGGAGAUAAAUGGAACAAAACUCAUAGAUUACUAAAAGUAUUGAAUAACUCAGAAAACAAGAAAGGCGAUCGAUAAAAUUCAGGUAACAAUCAAACAAAAGCAUUUCGAGACCAAAGUGACAUGGUCAUUAUUUAGUGACAAGUAACUGGCAAAUUGGAUCCACCUAUCUACAAUGUCUAUGCAGACAACAAAUGAGUUUUUUUCAAGCUCAGAUUGGUUCGUUAUUAUAUAUUUGUUGAAGAAAAUAAAUAUAUAGACAAUAACCAGCUACGGGCGUUCACUGUGCUAAGAAAUUGAAAACUGGAUCUCUGUGUAUAUCCUCUUUAGCUACACAAAGUCGUUGGAGAGUAAAACAAAGAGAAUGCUUUGAUGGUCUAAGAUAUAGCAAUGCGGUCUCUAUAAUCUAACCUUCCAAGUAAAACAAGACAAGAAAAAAAGGGUAGAUUGAAUGGGUAACAUAGAUCCAUCACAGAGAAAACUCUGGUUAAAUGGGUUCAGAAAAGGUUAUGCAUGAAAUUUGUCUUUUUAUUGAGAAGUAAUUCAUGAACAAAAAUGUAAAUAUGAUCCUUACAUUCUAUAAAGCUAUACAAUACAGAAUACAGAUCUGGAGGAGCAAAUAAAAUGUAGUUUAGUUACAUUUUUGGUGCAUUGACUGAGACAUAUAAUGCCAAAAGCUUGAUUCUUAAUUCAAUUAAAUACAUCAAUUAACAUUUCUUUGUUUAGCAUUUACAUUAUGAGCUAGAAGGUCCUCUGAGCAGGAGAAGGUUUAGAAAACAAUGCAGAGAUUUUUGUUGAGUUUGCAAAUAUUUUUAAUGACCGAAAUUUUAGUAGGACUAGAAUAGCAUGCAACACACCAUAGGAGAAUAUUUAAAAAUAAAUAACUAAACACACACAAAUUAAGAUAUGAUCCAAAGAAGCAUUAAUAAGAAACAUUCACCAAUAUGAUAACCUAAUUUACCUUUGUACCCCAUUGCCACAAUUGUUGGUUUUCUUCAUGAUCAGAGUUAGGCAAAAUUAGGCUUUCAGUGUAGGUAAUUGCUCUAUAAUUAGAAUAGGCAUCAGGGGUAGAAAUUUCCAGGAAUGUAAAUACUGCAGCCGUAUUUCUAUUUUCCUUUCUUCAUCAUUCUGCUAUCUUAUUAGCUGUUUCCUAUCCUGUCUUAAUUUAAAUUAUUAUGUUUCCUAGUUCAAAAUUUUUGGGUAUCAGACAAAUUCUUGUGGUGUCAACCUUGUAUUCAGCCUCUUAUUUACAAAGCACUGAAAUCUUAUGCAGUUCUGUUAUGACCUUCUUAUGGUUUUCUGCAAACUCCAGCCACUAAUUUACAUUUUCUAAGGUAUGGUGCAAGCAUCUUUCAUUCUCAUCAUGCAUUAGUUUGUGUCAAAGCCAGGUUCACAUCAAGCUGGCAUGUGAGGCAGAAAAUGUUGGAGAUAAAUGGAACAAAACUCAUAGAUUACUAAAAGUAUUGAAUAACUCAGAAAACAAGAAAGGCGAUCGAUAAAAUUCAGGUAACAAUCAAACAAAAGCAUUUCGAGACCAAAGUGACAUGGUCAUUAUUUAGUGACAAGUAACUGGCAAAUUGGAUCCACCUAUCUACAAU